rnacentral:tRNA from 1 species
GCCUCUUUAGCUCAGUGGUAGAGCGCUGGUCUCGUAAAUCAUUCGAAGAUAACCAGCGGUCGUGAGUUCAAUCCUCACAGGAGGCA